GCCGGAGUGGUGGAACUGGUAGACACGCAGUGUUGAGGGCGCUGUGUCCUAUUGGGCGUGCCGGUUCGAGUCCGGCCUCCGGCA
rnacentral:tRNA from 1 species